AAUUAAGGAGGCACUCUUGGACUACCUUAAUGGAGGAACUCUUGGAAUACCCUAAUUAAGGAGGCAGGGAGUAAAAAUUGUGUCGCCGCCGUGAAGAAUCAAAGUCCAGAGAAGAAUUGAUAGAAGAGAUUUCGGGAUGUUAAAGAACGUGCUCUCUAUCGAUCUCCUCUUGGAAUACCCUAAUUAAGGAGGCAGGGAGCAAAAGAUUGCAUCGGUGAAGAAUCAAAGUCCAGAGAAGAAAGAAGAGAUUUGGGGAAGUAAAAUCGAAGAUAGAGAAGCUAGAAGAGGAUAGUGUUAGAAUGAAUGUUCGGUUAGGUCGGAGCAGAGGGUUAAGGCGAUUUCUCUCACGGUUAGCCAUUUUGUAGCUGCUGAUAUCAUUCUCAAAGGGCUGGGUGGCUUUCUUUUCGUGUUUGGCAGUCCAUUUGAUGCUUAUAUACUGGUACUCUUCUCCAUUGUAUAUUUUCCCUUUUUAAGG